UACGUAGGGGGCAAGCGUUGUCCGGAUUUACUGGGCGUAAAGAGCGCGCAGGCGGUCGAUCAAGUCGGAUGUGAAAGCCCCCGGCUCAACUGGGGAGGGUCAUUCGAUACUGGUCGACUCGAAGGCAGGAGAGGGAAGCGGAAUUCCCGGUGUAGUGGUGAAAUGCGUAGAGAUCGGCAGGAACACCCAGGGGGAAACCAGUCGACUGGGCAUCUACUGACGCUGAGGUGCGAGAGCGUGGGGAGCGAACCGG
rnacentral:rRNA from 1 species